CACGCCGUGCGAACACCAGUCUGUGGUAGGCUGGUUACUGUUCGCGAGUGUUUGUUGCCCCUCCUUGGGCGAGGAUUUUUCUUCCCCACCUCACUGACUUCAGCAAAUCAUUUCCCAGAAGCAAGGGGAGAAUUAGACUCCACCUCUUGAUGGGAAAGCAGCAAGUCACACUGCAGAAGAAUCUGUGGGACGGAAGCUAUUAUUGUGGCUGUCUUUGGAGGAUGCAAUCUGCCACAGUGGGGAGUUGGCAGCACUUGACUCUGUGACCCGCCAGAAUCUGUGACUGCCUCACACAAGCUCCAUUUUGAGCGGCCCCCAGGACUCCUGCUCCUGUCGCGUCACGCAGUCGGCUGCCUGUUGUGAUCCUGGAAACCCGCUUAGUUCAGUCCAUUGAUGUGAAUUUCUGGGAGCAAUUUGGCCACUUUGUUUCUUAUUUUUCCAGCCCUUUCCUUAACACUUUCUAUUCGCAAAAUAUUUGCUUAAAGCAAUAGUGUCAAUCAUUAAUGUUCCUAAGUAUUCCACAGUGAGCUUGCUAGAAAUACCAGGCCCUCUUCUCUGUCUUUAGAUUCUGAUCUAAUAAGAUCAGAUCGAAUAGUAGAGUGCUAGUGAUACUGAUGAAGGAAGUCCAAGGGUUGCACUUCGGGGAAAAAUGGCUUACAUGUAUGAGGGGUGGAGGUAAUGAAGGAUAGCCCUCAAUCCUGCCUGCUCUCUUGCUCUGUUGGGGAAGCCUCAGUGGAAUGUAGGAAGUUUGCCCAUGCCUUGUACAAUGGAUGGAAUACUACUCAGCAAUAAAAAGGGACUGACUGCUGAUACCCAGAACAGGGAUGAAUCUCAGAAGAACUCGACCGAGUGAAAGAAGUCACACAUAAGAGUGCAGACGAUAGAAACGGGAUCAGCGGUUAUUUGUGGGAGCGAGGGGGAUUGACUGGGAGGGGAUUUGAGGCAACUCUGGUGAUACAAAUGUCUGUGUCUUGAUUGACAAGGGUGUGCAUUACAGGAGUAUAUGCCUUUGUCAAAAUCUAUCCAACUGUACGUUUACGAUCUGUGCUUUUCAUUGUAUACAAACUAUCUUAAAUGUUUUAACUUGACUAUACCCGUUUUGGGUAACGAUAAAAUUAUUUUUACCAAUUUUUUUUUAUCAAUUUGUAUCCCUUAAAAGCAUGCAAAAGGCAAAACAAAACCUGUUGAGAUAGAAAGUGAUCUAACAAAGUAUUGCAAACAUGGUGCGCACUCAAUAAAAAUGUAUUCACGACUGACGGUCACGCAAGAGUAGUUCAUUGCAACAGUCUGUUUAUAAGAUGCCUCCUGGCAGUCCAGCAACAUAGUCAAAUUCAGCACUGUAUAGGAGAUUAAAAUUUCCAAACCCUAUAAAAAUAUUUUUAGCAAUCCUCCAUCCCAUCAAUCCAGUUAUUCAGCCUUUUCAUGGGAGUACAAUAAAUAAAAUCAAUACCUUUUAUUACUUCACCACCAGAAACUGUUACUAUAGCCAAAUUCAAAGAUGUAAGGCUGUCUGCAAGCUGAUCCCUCCUUCAGGGAGUAUUUUAUGAGGAAAGUGCACUGUUAUAAUUUGGUGUGAAGAAGGAAGGCUAUCCUUAAAUCCUAAGAAGGACUUUGCAGGUUGAAAAAGCACAAAUCAGGAGUAUCAGUCCCCUCUGUAUGAGCUCUAGCUGGAUAAAUACAGGGAAAAAAGUCAACUAUUUUUUUCAAAGAAAUAGUUUCCUGAAAAUAUAUACAGGAUGAUUUUUAUAUUUAUUUCUAUAAUAAAAAGGAUAUACUACCGCAUCCCAGGCAAACGGGACAAAUCCCUCCUUAGUACUUAUCUUUCUUAAUUGUGCUCUGUUUCUAGCGGUAACUGGCCUCGUGAUAUGUGUGUGACUCUCUUCCUUUACAUUUCCACCCACUUUGAGGAGUAUGACCAAAAAACCCCAACUAAGCAAACAAGCAAAAAUGCAAAUCAAAUCUUCAGAUUAAAAGAUAAUUUCCUGUGAGAUUAUGCAUCCACAAUGUUGAAGAUAUGCACUUGAAAGCAUCCGUUAUCGACAGGAGCUCUCCAAAUAUUUUCCAUUGUUUUGUCUCUACAGAAUUCACCAAUAGAGAAGAAAUAAAGAAUAAAACAUUUUAGGACAGCUAUCACUGGAGAAAUACGAUUUUCUUUUUCAAUUUCUAGAGGAUAAGAUUUUUAAAGGGAAAAAAUAAAAAUGAUGAAAAAGUAAGGACAAUUCAAAAACUGGGAAAAGUUUAAAUCCUUCAACCACAUAUAAAAAUUUUCAUUUCGUAAUAAAAGAAUUAGAGCUUUAACAAUUCAAACUGUGUUUGUUCUGGUGAUCUCAAAAUCUGGUCCCCAGAUCAGCAGCACCAGCAGCACCUGGGAACGUGUUCGAAAUGCACAUCCUUGGGCCCCCGCCAGGCCUGCUGAGCUGGAAACUCUGGGGGCGGGGCCUGGUCAUCUGUUUGAACAAGUCCUCCAGGUGAUU